rnacentral:rRNA from 1 species
UACGAAGGGGGCUAGCGUUGCUCGGAAUUACUGGGCGUAAAGGGAGCGUAGGCGGAUGUUUAAGUCGGGGGUGAAAGCCCGGGGCUCAACCCUGGAACUGCCUUCGAUACUGGGCAUCUAGAGUACGGGAGAGGUGUGUGGAACUCCGAGUGUAGAGGUGAAAUUCGUAGAUAUUCGGAAGAACACCAGUGGCGAAGGCGACACACUGGCCCGUUACUGACGCUGAGGCUCGAAAGCGUGGGGAGCAAACAGG